rnacentral:rRNA from 1 species
AUACGUAGGUGGCAAGCGUUGUCCGGAAUUAUUGGGCGUAAAGCGCAUGUAGGCGGUUUGGUAAGUCGGUCGUGAAAAUGCGGUGCUUAACGCCGUAUGGCGAUUGAAACUGCUGAACUUGAGUGCAGGAGAGGAAAGGGGAACUCCCAGUGUAGCGGUGAAAUGCGUAGAUAUUGGGAAGAACACCGGUGGCGAAGGCGCCUUUCUGGACUGCGUCUGACGCUCAGAUGCGAAAGCCAGGGUAGCGAACGGGAUUAGAUACCCCGGUAGUCCUGGCCGUAAACGAUGGGUACUAGGUGGGGGAGGUAUCGACUCCUUCCGUGCCGGAGUUAACGCAAUAAGUACCCCGCCUGGGGAGUACGGCCGCAAGGCUUAAACUCAAAUGAAUUGACGGGG